AGGACUACAGUUGUAAUUUGUCGAAGAAAAGAAAAAAAGAGAAAGGGUUCCCUGUUCCGUCUCUCUCCCCUGUGUUAUCUUCUCUUCUAUCAUCUCCUUCUCCACCGACUCGAACCCAUCGCCGGCACUCAAAAGCUCUCCUCGCCAACUCAACGAUCACUUCCCUUUUCGACACUGACCACCACAAGCACUCCUCUUUCAAUUUCUCCGAUCAGCUCACAAGUGUGUCAAACAGGGCCUGAGUUCAUGUACAAGAAACAAAGGGAAAGAAAAUAACAGUUACUUCUCUUCGAUUUGUUUGGUUUACUAGAAAAUUUUAAAUAGAAACAAGAAUCCAAAUUUGUACAAGUCUAUAUCAAAUGUUGAUCAAAUUUUAAGGAAAAAUGUAAGUGAUUAUUAUAGCCUUUUUGUUGUAUUUAACUACUUUCCUUUUCACGUUUGUGGUCACCAUCAUGUGAGGGAGUGUGCUAUAAGUUCAACAAAAAGACUAAUAUUUGUAAUUUUCAAAAUAUGUUAUAUUCAAAUUAUAAUUACUAUAGUGUUGUUGGUACUUUCCAAUUGUAGCUUUUGAUUUAAAGGUAGGGUCUAGGCACAUCGUAGUCUUUGGCAUACACUAUGAGAGACUAUGGCCUUUUGGCUUGGAGGCUAAAGAUGGAGGUUUCACCAAGGUGUUACAUCUGCCUGGGUCACGCUGCCUUAGGCUGGUCCUACACUUCUAUUGAGAGGGGGAGAGAGAGAGAUGGAGAGAGAUCUUGCCACUGGUACCUCCUCAUAUUAAAAUGUCUUAACAAGUAACGAACUUCCCUUGAAAAUCCAAACGAUUUAUGCCCAUGUGCUCACCUUUUAUAAAUAUAAGGUAUUACAAUCCUACAUGAUAAGUUAGAACAUAUGAUGUCAGGUUGAGCUUUGUACUUGAACAAUUUGAAUUCGGGGGGCAUGGAAACUUACAUGUUGUAGACUCAUAGGUGUAUAUAUAUAUAUAUAUAAGUAUAUAUAAGUAUAGCCCGUAUAUUGCUUGAUUGCUUCCUUUUGGCAUACUAGCAGGUACAAGUUGGAAGUUCAAAUUUUUGGUUUGUUAAUUAUAUAAUUACUGGGUAGUUGCUACUCACUAGUUAGUAUUAGUCAUGCUUGUGGAUCAGUUAAGUUUUAAUGUGAUAGAUUAAAGGACAUUACCUAGUCUUCGUCCUUGUUAGUUUCUAGGUUCUUUGUUUGAAUGUGAAAUUUCAUUAUGCCAGAUUGAUUUUUAAUAGUUUAUUUUGUGUAAUGGAAGGUGAAUAGUGCGAUGAUAUGACAUUCUAUUAAAUUGAUUUAAUUUUUCUCUAAUAUUCAUUUGAAGAUACUACUACUAAUGAUUCAUACCUUUGCACUCUUGACCCAUAUUACUCUUCAUGAAGUUGAAUAUCAAUUGCUUUAUACUAAUUUUGGUGUUGUGUACAUUUUUGUUUCUAUACCUUUUCCACCUAUU